CCCUACGGGGCGCAGCAGGCAAUGGCUGUAGAGGCCCCGGGGGUCGCCCCUGUGCAGCAGGAAGUCCAGGUGUUCCGCCACAAUGCGGCGCAGCGGGGCGGGUGCCAGAGGGGCAUCGAGCAAACGAGCCAACAGGGCUUCGACCGGCUGUUCCGCACGCUGGAAACGUUCCAUAAAGCUAUCCGGGGUCAAUUCGAUAAAAAAGACGUUCUCCUCGGGAACCUGCGCCCGUUUCGCCGCCUCGGCGACCGCCGUUUGCAGAUUGCCCAUCUGGUCGACCAGACCCAGUUUCAAUGCCGUCUCACCAUCCCAGACCCGUCCUUCCGCGACCUUUUCCACCGCCGCCUUGCUCAUCUUCCGUCCCUUGGCAACGAUGUCGAUGAAUUGGCGGGGGGGC
rnacentral:rRNA from 1 species